rnacentral:rRNA from 1 species
GGGAUAACAGUUGGAAACGGCUGCUAAUACCGCAUAAGCGCACAGCAUCGCAUGAUGCAGUGUGAAAAACUCCGGUGGUAUAAGAUGGACCCGCGUUGGAUUAGCUAGUUGGUGAGGUAACGGCCCACCAAGGCGACGAUCCAUAGCCGACCUGAGAGGGUGACCGGCCACAUUGGGACUGAGACACGGCCCAAACUCCUACGGGAGGCAGCAGUGGGGAAUAUUGCACAAUGGGCGAAAGCCUGAUGCAGCGACGCCGCGUGAGCGAAGAAGUAUUUCGGUAUGUAAAGCUCUAUCAGCAGGGAAGAUAAUGACGGUACCUGACUAAGAAGCACCGGCUAAAUACGUGCCAGCAGCCGCGGUAAUACGUAUGGUGCAAGCGUUAUCCGGAUUUACUGGGUGUAAAGGGAGCGCAGGCGGUGCGGCAAGUCUGAUGUGAAAGCCCGGGGCUCAACCCCGGUACUGCAUUGGAAACUGUCGUACUAGAGUGUCGGAGGGGUAAGCGGAAUUCCUAGUGUAGCGGUGAAAUGCGUAGAUAUUAGGAGGAACACCAGUGGCGAAGGCGGCUUACUGGACGAUAACUGACGCUGAGGCUCGAAAGCGUGGGGAGCAAACAGGAUUAGAUACCCUGGUAGUCCACGCCGUAAACGACGAAAACGAGGUGUUGGGAAGCAUUGCUUCUCGGUGCCGUCG